rnacentral:tRNA from 1 species
GCUGUUAGCUCAGCAGGAUAGAGCAAUUGCCUUGUAAGCGAAUGGGUAGCGGUUCGAGUCCGUUAACCAGCACCA